AGUGAACGCUGGCGGUAGGCCUAACACAUGCAAGUCGAACGGCAGCACAGUAAGAGCUUGCUCUUACGGGUGGCGAGUGGCGGACGGGUGAGGAAUACAUCGGAAUCUACUUUUUCGUGGGGGAUAACGUAGGGAAACUUACGCUAAUACCGCAUACGACCUACGGGUGAAAGCAGGGGAUCUUCGGACCUUGCGCGAUUGAAUGAGCCGAUGUCGGAUUAGCUAGUUGGCGGGGUAAAGGCCCACCAAGGCGACGAUCCGUAGCUGGUCUGAGAGGAUGAUCAGCAACACUGGGACUGAGACACGGUCCAGACUCCUAAGGGAGGCAGCAGUGGGGAAUAUUGGACAAUGGGCGCAAGCCUGAUCCAGCCAUACCGCGUGGGUGAAGAAGGCCUUCGGGUUGUAAAGCCCUUUUGUUGGGAAAGAAAAGCAGCAGGUUAAUACCCCGCUGUUCUGACGGUACCCAAAGAAUAAGCACCGGCUAACUUCGUG
rnacentral:rRNA from 1 species